rnacentral:lncRNA from 1 species
ACAACAAAGCAAUUCGACGCCUGCUACAUGUUGCUGUAAGUGAUGUUAAUGAUGAUGUCAGGAGGGCAGCAGUAGAAUCACUUGGGUUCAUUCUAUUCAGUGAGGAGAAGCGUAUCUAGUAGAAUGAUUGAUGAAGACUGAAUGGUUGAACUUCGGAGCCUCAUUGGACUCUGGUACAUGGCAGGGUUAAUCCCAUUUCGAAUUCCAUGUUUCUUGAAAAACUUAGAGUUCUCUGCCAUUGGAUUCCGGAAGUAGAUCUUACUGGAGCGUUUUCUGAGAGUUUUUACUGACUUUGUGGCCCGGUAAUUGCAGGUGAUAUAUCGGCCAAAUGCAUCCCGAAAUGUCUUAUUGAAGAGGGUGUAGACCAAAGGAUUCACUCCUGAGGAAACAUAGCCUAUCCACACAAAUAUCUCCAGGAGCAUUUGGAGAGUAGUUUGGUUACAGGAAUCACAUAAAACUAAAGUUAUAUUUGUAAUAAAGAAGGGACACCACAUAAGCAAAAAGAGGAAAAACACAAUCCCUAGGACCUUUGAGGCUCUCUGUUCGUUGGAAAUGGUCUGCACUGACUUUUUCCCAAUUGUGGAUGUUCUUCGCAUAAGUGUUUCAUCACCUGAGUUGGGCAGAGCCUUGUCCUUUCGAGAACCAUCCAGCAUUGCCAC